CAGCCUGUCAUAUGAUUAGUGAUCAGGUAUUAGACAAUCUAUUCUAGAAGAAAAAACAACAUCAAACAGCUUGCUCAACACACAUGUUUCGAAGAACGUCUUUUUCCAUGCUCGGGCUAGUUGGGAGGUGAAAGACACAAACAAAGCAAAUGAUUAAUCAUGUCCUAUUCCCCGCCAAAUGCUCGUGUACUCAAGGGCUUUCAAAAGCAGUUAUCGAGGUGAAGGAAGCGCGAGCAAGUCUUACCGGCUUUAAGAGAAGGUGCCCCCAUAGGCCAGUUCCUUAGCCCGGUCAAAAAGAAUGCUUUGGUGACUUGAAAAUGAACCACAUGCGUAAAUACAGAUGCCGCUGCAUACGAAUCAGCCUCAAGCAGGCACGCACCUGGGAGGGCGAAAG
rnacentral:misc_RNA from 1 species